GGAAGCUGACACUCAGAGAAACCAUGCACGAAGAACGGCCCUCUUAUCUCCAAAGGGGCAGGAUGGCAACAGAAGGUUUUGCCAGCAGCACCCACGGGAUGGCAAUCACAUGCUGUGAGGAAACAGAGGAAGAAAGAGAGGCAAAAAGCCCCUCCACCGAUCUUCCGGGGUUUCUCGUUCAUCUUUGACCUGCACCAGGGGAUCACUUCGCACCUCGGCUCUGUUUGUUUUGCUUGUCCUGUCAUUCCUUAACCCACCCGAAUGAAGCCAAAUAACUCAGUGUCGAUGAGGGAACACCCAGCCCAAGCCUCCCAUACCACCACGACCUCCACAAUCCCGACAGACCCCCAACUCAUCUCCGCUGACAGGGGGAGAUGAAGGUGAGACAGGCUCAGGAAUGUGAAGACUGUUGGCUUCCCCCCACUUACUGUAAUUCAUCUAAAACUGUUUCAUUUCAGACCUAAAUCAUUUCAGUAGUGGCUUGUAUUGAGUAUGCAGUAGUAUUGUGUGUAUGUUUUUCUAUAUUCUUUAAUAAAUAUUUUGAUAAGAUUUUUUUUUUUUUUUUAAUUUAAAUAGCAAAACAAAAUAAAAUCCUAAAUUUGGCUUUUUGCACAACAUGUAUUUUAAAACUUUUCUGUAUAAAG